CCAGCCAGGAAAAUAAUAUUCUGAUCAAAAUGCAAAAAGCAUUGCCAGGGAUAAAGAGGUCACAAUAUGGCGCUGACUCAGGAGAACUACAGAAGAAUUCUGAACGUGUAUGUACCUAUUAGGGUAACUUUAAAUUUUAUAAAGAAAGCAAAUUACACAAGAAAUGGCUACAAGAAGAAACUGAUCAAUCCAGCAGCACACAGGGAGAUUUUAACACGCCUCCUUCAGUAAUUGAUAGAACAAGCAAAUAAAAAUCAGUAAGGAUUUAGAAGAUCUGAGCGACAAAGUAACAAACUUGAUCCGCAAGAUAUUUAUAGGAUUCUGUAUACAAUAACCGGAGAAUAUGCUUUCUUCUCCAGGGCCCAAGAAACAUUAUAGAACUGACUACAUAUUCAGCCAUCAAUCAAACCUAAAUAGACCUGGAAGGACUGGUACCAUAGUAACAGCAUUCUCUGAGCACAACGCCAAGUAGUUUAGAAGUCAAUAACAAUGAAAGAAACCUAAAGCCUAAAAAUCUUAAUAAAUCUAGAAAUUUAAAAACAUAUUUCUAAUUACCCACGGGUAAAAAAGUCUCAUAAUGGAAAUUCAGAAAUACUUAAGACUAAAUAGUGAAAAUACCAAAAAUGAUCAUGAAUUGUAACACCAUAUGGUGAUAAGUACUUUGUAGUCAUAAACGCAUAUAUUAGAAGAAAAUCCCCUAAAAAUUAAUAAGUACCCAACUUAAAAAGUUAGAACAGGAAAAUAAUUCCAAAGAAAAUGAAAGGAAGAUAAUAAAGGCAACCAGAAAUUAAUAAAAUAGAAAAUAAAAAUACAAUGGGGAGGAAUUAUAGAGUUGAUUUUUUGGAAGAACUAAUAUAGCUGAACUAAACCUCUAGCAAGACUAAUCAAUUUUUUUAAAAAAUAGAAAACACAAGAACUAUUGGGAUAGAGAAAAUGAACAUUACUACACAGGAGAGUAGAGGCUGAAAAGUUAAUAAGGGAAUAUUAUGGGCUGGGCGCAGUGGCUCACGCCUGUAAUCCCAGCACUUUGGGAGGCUGAGCGGGGGGGGGGGGGGGCAGAUCACCAGAGGUCAGGAGUUCGAGACCAGCCUGACCCAUAUGGUGAAAUCCUGUCUCUACUAAAAAUAUAAAAAAUCAGCUGGGCGUGGUGUCAGGCACCUAUAGUCCCAGCCACUCGGGAGGCUGAGGCAGGAGAAUGGCAUGAACUCAGGAGGUGGUGCUUGCAGUGAGCCGAGAUCCCGCCACUGUACUCCAGCCUGGGCAACAGAGCAAGACUCUGUCUCAAAAAAAAAAAAAAAAAAAAAAUUAGCUGGGCUUGGUGGCACUUGCCUGUAACCCCAGCUACUUGAGAGGCUGAGACAGGAGAAUCACUUGAAUCUGGGAGGUGGAGGUUGCAGUGAGCCGAGAUUGCACCACUGCACUCCAGCCUGGGUGACACAGUGAGACUCCAUCUGAAAAAAAAAAAAAAAGAAAAAGGGAAUAUUAUGAACAUCUUUUUGCAAAUAAAUUUGAUAAUUAGAUGAAAUGGACACAUUCCCAGGAAAAUACAAAUUCCCAAAACAGACUCAGAAGAGACAUCCUGAAUCGCACUAUAAACAACAACAAAGAUUUAAUCAGUAUUUUAGAAAUCUUCUCACAAUACAAAAACGAGGCUCAGCUUGUUUUGUGAGCAAGUUCUAGCAAAGCAUUCCAGGCACAGAUGAUUUCCAUCUUAUUCAAAGUCUUCCAGGAAAGACAGCCAAAGGGAGUGCUCCCGAGCAGAUUCUCUGAUGAUUAGAAAAUCCUUGUGCCCGAUAGACAAGGGUGGUAAGAGAAGUGAAGUUAAUGACACUCUCUUUAAUAAGCAUAUACACAAAAUCUCUGAAACAACAACAACAAAAAUCAAACCAUCUAGCAGUGAUGUGGGACAGGCGAGCCCCAGAGUAGGGCUUAGCUGGUGAGGGUUCUUAGCUUCGCCUAGGACAGACUACAAGGGAAAGCUGGCAGUGGGGUAGAAUGAGGCAGCUUUACUGAGGUGGCGGGGUUACAGCCCCAUGGCUGUUCCCACAGGGCAGGGCCACCCCGCGGGCAGUGUGUCCAGAGUAACAACUUGGGAGGAGUUCUGCAAUCAUACCUACACCCACUUUCUUUCUUUCUUUUUUUUUUUUUGAGACAGAGUCUCGCUCUGUCACCCAGGCUGGAGUGCAGUGGUGCUAUCUUGGCUCACUGCAACCUCCACCUCCUGGGUUCAAGCGAUUCUCCUGCCUCACCCUCCCGAGUAGCCGGGAUUACAGGUGCCCGCCACCACACCCGGCUAAUUUUUGUAUUUUUAGUGGAGACAGGGUUUCACCAUGUUGGCCAGGCUGGUGCCAAACUCCUGACCUCAAGUGAUCCGCCCUCCUUGUCCUCCCAAAGUGCUGGGAUUACAGCUGUGAGCCACUACGCCCAAACUUCACUUUCAAAUAUACGUAAGUUAAAGGGCAAGUUAUUUAGAAAUUUCUAGAAAAGGGAUGAUAACUUCCAGGUCACUGCCAUGAAAAGGGGUGGUAACUUUCGGGUGUUGCCAUGGCAAUGCUAAACUGUUGCGGCGCUGGUGGGCCUGUCUUAGGGAGAAGAGCUUUCAGUGCCUCUUCUGUGUUUUAGCUAGUCUUCAAUCAGGUCUGGAGUUGACUCCCACCUCCUACCUCAAUAGUGUUAUAUGUACCGUCAAGCAAUGCUCAACCCUGGGGAUACAUUCUGAGACAUGCGUAGAAUAUUAUAUGCAUAUUGCUAUAAUGUUAUAGCACCAUAUCUGUUUGUCUGCACGCAUGUUGUUGGACGAUUUCGUCACGUGUAAGUGACCUUCCACAGAUCCAGUAGUGUACUCUAAGAUGGCAGAGCCUACCCCAUGGCCAGGCUGUACGGUGUGGCCUGUGGCUCCUGGGCUCCAGGGCUCCAAAUGUGCACAGCAGGUGACAGCACUGAACGCUGCAGGCAACUGCAGCACAAUACUGUAUGUCUGUAUGUCUCAACACAUCUAAACACAGAGAAGGUGCCGUGAAAACACAGGAUCAGUGACUUUAAAGUGGCGUACCUGAUAUGGCACUUAGCACGAACGGAGCUUGCGGGAGUGGAAGUUGCUCUGGGUGAGUCGGUGAGAGAGGGUGAGUGAGUGUGAAGGCCUGGGACGUUACUGUGCACCACUGGAGACUAUUUUUUUGAGACAGGGUCUCGCUCUGUCGCCUAGGCUGGAGUGUAGUGGCACCAUCUCGGCUCACUGCAACCUCUAUUUCCCAGGUUCAAGCGAUUCUUCUGCCUCAGCCUCCUGAGUAGCUGGGACUACAGGCGUGCACCAUCAAACCCUGCUAAUUUUUGUAUUUUUAGUAGAGAUGGGGUUUUGCCAUGUUGGCCAAGCUGGUCUCGAACUCCUGACUUCUUGUGAUCCAACUGCCUCGGCCUCCCAAAAUGCUGGGAUUAUAGGUGUGAGCCACCCUUCCUGGCCUACUGAAGACUUUAUAAACACUGUAUACUUAAGCUAUACUCUGUUUAUUAAAAAUAUUUUUUCUUCAAUAAUAAAGUAACCUUAGCUUACUGUUACUUUGUAAACUUUAAAAAAAUUUUUACUUUUUGGUAAUACUUAGCUUAAAACACAAACACGUUGUACAGCUGUACAAAAAUAUUUUCUUUCUUUAUUUUGUAAGUAAGUUUUUUUCUAUUAAGGUUGGUGCAAAAAUAAUACCAUUACUUUUUAAUCCCAUUACUUUUAAUGGCAAAAACUGCAAUUACUUUUGCACCAACCUAGUAUUUUUGAAACUUUUUUCUACCUUUUUUUUUUUUUUUUUUUUUUGAUGGAGUCUCGCUGUGUCAUCCAGGCUGGAGUGCAGUGGCACGAUCUCAGCUCACUGCAACCUCCGCCUCCCAGGUUCAAGCAAUUCUCCUGCCUCAGCCUCCUGGGAAGCUAGGAUUACAGGCACAUGCCACUAUGCCUGGCUAAUUUUUGUAUUUUUAGUAGAGACGGGGUUUCACCAUGUUGUCCAGGCUGGUCUUGAACUCCUGACCUCAGGUUAUCCUCCUGCCUCGGCCUCCCAAAGUGCUGGGAUUACAGGCAUGACCCACUGUACCCUUUUUUCUACUUAAAAAAUUUUUUGUUACAAACAGAAACACACAUAUUAGCCCAGUAUUAGCCUAGGCCUACACGGGGUCAGGAUCGCCAAUAUCACUGACUUCCCCUCCAUAUCCUGUCCCAAUGGAGGGCUUCAGCAAUCCCUCCUGAAGGACCUGCCUGAGGCUGCUUUAUAGUUACUUUGUUUUUGUUUUUAAUCAGUAGUAGUAUACUCUAAGAUCAUGAUAAAAAAGUUGGCCGGGUGUGGCGGCUCACGCUUGUAAUCCCAGCACUUUGGGAGGCCGAGGCGGGCGGAUCAUGAGGUCAGGAGAUCGAUACCAUCCUGGCUAACACAGUGAAACCCCAUCUCUACUAAAAACACAAAAGAUUAGCAGGGCGCGGUGGCAGGCGCCUGUAGUCUCAGCUACUCGGGAGGC
rnacentral:lncRNA from 1 species